CCUACGGGGGGCUGCAGUGGGGAAUAUUGGACAAUGGGCGCAAGCCUGAUCCAGCCAUGCCGCGUGAGUGAUGAAGGCCUUAGGGUUGUAAAGCUCUUUCGACGGGGACGAUGAUGACGGUACCCGUAGAAGAAGCCCCGGCUAACUUCGUGCCAGCAGCCGCGGUAAUACGAAGGGGGCUAGCGUUGUUCGGAAUUACUGGGCGUAAAGCGCACGCAGGCGGUCUGAUCAGUCAGAAGUGAAAGCCCCGGGCUUAACCUGGGAACUGCUUUUGAUACUGUCAGGCUUGAAUCACGGAGAGGGUAGUGGAAUUCCGAGUGUAGAGGUGAAAUUCGUAGAUAUUCGGAAGAACACCAGUGGCGAAGGCGACUACCUGGCCGUCGAUUGACGCUCAUGUGCGAAAGCGUGGGGAGCAAACAGGCUUAGAUACCCCGGUAGUC
rnacentral:rRNA from 1 species